rnacentral:tRNA from 1 species
GAAGAUACAGCUCAAGCACCAGAGCAUGUGCUUAGUAUGCACAAGAUCCUGGGUUCAAUCCCCAGUACCUCCU